rnacentral:rRNA from 1 species
AUUGAACGCUGGCGGCAGGCCUAACACAUGCAAGUCGAACGAGUGGCGGACGGGUGAGUAAUGUCUGGGAAACUGCCCGAUGGAGGGGGAUAACUACUGGAAACGGUAGCUAAUACCGCAUACCAUCGGAUGUGCCCAGAUGGGAUUAGCUAGUAGGUGGGGUAACGGCUCACCUAGGCGACGAUCCCUAGCUGGUCUGAGAGGAUGACCACCCACGCUGGAACUGAGACACGGUCCAGACUCCUACUCAGAUCAUCAGGAUAAACUAUUGCACAAUGGGCGCAAGCCUGAUCCAGCCAUGCCGCGUGUAUGAAGAAGGCCUUCGGGUUGUAAAGUACUUUCAGCGAGGAGGCGUUACUCGCAGAAGAAGCACCGGCUAACUCCGUGCCAGCAGCCGCGGUAAUUC